rnacentral:sRNA from 1 species
UCCCACUCGAAGAUCCAGUAUCUGCUACUGAUGAUAUUACAAUACUUCCAGAGCUUGAGUAUUGUGAAAGUAAAUGCGAUUCCAUAUGGUUAGGAAUUGUUUAUAGCUUUAAGGGCCCUAUAUCCAAGAAAGAUGAAGAACGCCAUUAAAAAUUGGUUGCCGAAAACGAGGAAUCACAACUUUUCUGUGCAAAAUGUAGAAAAUAUGGAUAAAAGGUAUAUGAUCUUGGAGCUGGGAUAGACGAUGAUACCUCUCAAAGAAUUAUCAUUUCAAUUACGUAUUCAUUUUUGCAGGAAAUACUCUUAUUUUAAUUGAAAUUUCUUGUUGCACUCCACUCGUGCCGUGCAUUUUUAAUGAGAGAUUCAACAACCUUUCAGCAUAUUUGCAUAAAAUAUUCAUUUGAAUUAUUAAUAUUGGAAACGUGUUGGUGGGGCGAUUAACAUCAAUUGGAUUAAGUACAUAAAUCAUUGCAUAUAAAAAGUCUCAAAUUGAAAUCAGUCAACCUAUGGGCAUGGAUGGACGCUUUGUUAGCCCCCAAAGAAUACCCAAAGAUUUUUCAUAUGUGAAAGUCAACGCUAUUCCAUGUGGUUAGGCCUUUUCUAUGGCGCUAAAAGCAUAAUUCUGGUGUUUGGCCUACAUCUAUACAUCUAUAACCCAUUCGCAUAUUUGAAUUGGAAUUUCAAUUGGAUUAACUAAAUAAAUCAUUGAAUAUACGCAAAUAUUUAUAAUGACAAUUAUGAAAAUUUAACUCUGA